CCCUUAGAUGUUCUGGGCCGCACGCGCGCUACACUGAUGCGUUCAACGAGUUUAGAACCUUGACUGAUAGGUCUGGGUAAUCUUUUGAAUGCGCAUCGUGAUAGGGAUAGAUUAUUGCAAUUAUUAAUCUUGAACGAGGAAUUCCUAGUAAACGCAAAUCAUCAAUUUGCAUUGAUUACGUCCCUGCCCUUUGUGCACACCGCCCGUCGCACCUACCGAUUGAAUGGUCCGGUGAAGCCUCGGGAUUGUGGCCAGUUCACUUUAUUGGGAGUUGGCUGUGAGAACUUGUCUAAACCUUAUCAUUUAGAGGAAGGUGAAGUCGUAACA
rnacentral:rRNA from 1 species